CAUUCUACCCUAUCCAAAUCUUACUUGUGGGAUUUCACUGGGUAUGUUGUUAUAGCUGAUGCCACCGAAUAAUUAUUUACUAUCCUAGUUCCGAUGGCAGCCGGCGAAUAAAACUGUUUCCUAGUUCCGAUGGCAGCCAGGGAAUAAAGGAACUGUUUCGAAUGCACAAUACCUAACGACCAUCCUAAACUUGAGUGUUUUCUUCAGAUCCCCUUUACUAUCAGUAGUCAUCGUGGUAAACGCUACCAAAUAGCAAAGUUCGGGGGUAAUUAAGACUACUGAUAGUUUAGGAAGUAUUUGAAGAAAACGCGUCAAAUUUUAGGAAGUAUCUGAAGAAAAUGCAUCAUACAAUAUGUACCCAUGAAAUUUAGUCUAUAGACAUGUUGUCCCCCUCUUAUUUCUUUGUUCAAAACAAAUGAUUUUCUGUUCAAGCCAGAAGUUGUGACUAUAUAUAAAUCCCUUCUUUAUAUCAAGUGAUCUCUAGUAUUGACCUAACCUAAGUUACUCGGACUCUUCACUUUAGUGUUGCAUCCUUGUCGACACAACGGGGUGUGGGGGGGGGGGGGAAUCCGUGUCUGAUCUGGUAAAAUUAGUCUUGGUACUCUGACCAAAUUCGAGGGAGAAAUUUUUGGACAGAUUCAAUGAUUUGUGUGCGAAAAACAAGAAAUUGAGGUGAAAUUGGAGAAAAUGAAAUACGUCAUAUGUGUAAAUUUCUUCUGUAACUCCCUUUCCUUUUAUCUCCUUCCAGAAUUCUCCUCAAGUUUUCUUCAUAUGAUCUCGUAACGUAGGUUAUAUAACUCUAUUUUAGUUAUUUGAAUUAUUUUUAGCCCAAUUUUCGCACCCGUAACCAUAUGGAUCCAUAACACCGAAUCUAAAAAUUUAGAUCGUAGAGGAUCUGAUUUCUAAAUCCGCAUUCAUAUCGGACAUCCGCACUCGAGUCCAAGCAAAAUUAGGACCUAACAUAGUAAUAUUCUAAUAAAAAUUCAAGGCAAAGUUAGUGAAUCAGAAUUGAUGUAACCAUCUGUUUUCUCUACAUCUACUUGUGAAGUUAAAUUAUAGUUUUCAAUUAUCAAGCAUAUGUUGGUGUCAAGAUAACUGGUAGGUAAAACCAAUAGUCUUUACUCGUGUGAUUUUACUGGGUAUGUUGUAUUUUAGCGAAUUGGAGUUAUUUCUGUUCAUAUUCUAAGUAUUAAAUAACUAUAAUAAAGUAAUCAUGGUCAAAUUUAAGCUUUCAAAAUAUCAUUAGUAAUAUUAAUUGAAUAAAAUACGUCUCUAAUUAACCUUUUCUUAAAGGUUAUGUUAAAUCAACACGGAUCAAAUAAUAUGAAAUGAAGGAAGUACUUGUUUUUAUCCUUUUCUCAUUCAAUGUCCGGUUUUGUAUCGGGGUUGAAUUUGGAUGGAAAAUUUCACAUCGACUUUAUAUUUGGGUUCAAACUCGAAAUCGUCGAUUAAAGAUGAAAAACUUGAAUAACUACUCCCUUUCAUAUUAUGAGACCCAUGUUGAAAAGAUAAUGUUAAUAAGAGGUGUAUUUUACUAAAUUAAUUUUAUUAUUGAUGUUUUGGAACUUUACAUUUGACUACUAUUUUUGGUUAUUUAAAUUUUGAGUGUAGUAUGGAUAGAAGCAAUAAAACUCUCUUGAUAUUUUUAAAAAAUAGGGGAAUAAAAUGAAACAAUUAUUUUUGGCAUAGAAGCCAAGUAAGAUGUAAUGAAGGGAAUAUAAUUUUCAUUUUGGUUUCGUUUUAUAUUACUUGGUUCUAUAUUAAAAAUAGUUGUUCAAUUUAUUUGUCCAAUUUGCGAUAUCAAAAGAAAUUUUAUUACUUCGUCACUUCAUGUGUUCACUUUUUACUUUGUGGUCUAUUUUGGACUUUGCACGUAAAUGUAAGGUGGUGCAAAGUAAGUAAUUAAUGUGAAAUCUUUUGAUAUAUUAAAAAUGAACAAGUAAAAAUGGAUGGGUAGAAGUAUAUUUUUCCAUUUCUCCUUUAGCAUUAAGUAAAGCAUUAUUAGUAAAGUUAGUUAGGUACACAUUUAAUUAAAGUUCUUUUAAAGGUUGUGUCCAAUUUUUUGAAAAGAUUUGAUAUUUGAUCGAGAAUAGGAAAUUCUUGAGUGGAUUGUUAUCCUUAAUUGGAUGUGACAGUGCUUGAUUUGACGUUCUUGAUAUCAUGUAGUAUUAUUACCAGAUGUGAUCUCGUAUGUGUGUACUUCUUGAAAACGAUCAAAAGAGAGAUGAUGAUCAAGUGAGAGGGUAUUUCAGUCAAUUAAAUUCACACAUACUUCCAACAUCAUGUGCUACAUAUAAUAUAAUAUAACAAUUACUUGUGUCCACAUAUGGUCAUUUUUAUAGUCAUUACACAGAGUACCAUAAACCUCAAAACUCUUCCAUGGCUGACCUCUUUGAUCUGAAAAAACACAACCAAAUGAACAAUGAAGAAACAUCUCAAAUAGCUAUAGUAAUUGUUCCAUAUUUAGAACAAGGUCAUCUGAAUCCCCUUCUCAAUCUCUCUCGUAUAAUUUCAUCGUACAACCUUCCUGUAUUUUUCCUAGGUACUAGUACUAGUAAUCGUCAGGCUAAAUUCCGCCUAUCUGGUUGGAACAUUCUUGAUUUUCCGACUAUUCGAUUUCAUGACCUUGUACCUGGUUCUUGUUCCUCAGUUUCUGCAUCAGUAAUGGAGAAACUAGGCUCAUUCUUCACAUCCAUUUUGCUGCUUCGUGAACCAAUUCGGGAGUUUUUGCAGGAAGUUUCGAGUACAUAUAGAAGGACAGUGGUUAUUAAUGACACAGGCAUGUCAUGGGUAGUUCAAGAUGCAGUGUCAAUGCCCAAUACAGAAUGCUACUGCUUCCACACUAUUUCUGCGUUCACUGCUCUGUCAUUCGCCUGUGAAGCUACAAAAAAGCCACUUCCGUCUCCCGUGGCUGAGAUAAUUGCAGAGCUUCCUCCAAAGGAAAACACAUUUGAUUCCGAAACUAUAGAAUACAUAAUGAUGCAGCAAGAAUCGAGAGAUUUUUACUCAGUUGGUCUACACAAUUCUUGCAAAGAAAUUGAAGGUGUUUUUAUUGAAUUGCUGGAAGAACAACGUGAAAACAAGCAAUGGGCAAUUGGUCCAGUAUAUCCAGUGGAAAUUUCAAAGAGAAAAAGCUCUGAACUAACUCAUGAAUGUUUUUCAUGGCUUGAUAAACAAGAUCUAAAUUCAGUGAUUUAUGUUUCAUUUGGAUCGACAACUACGUUAUCGAAAGAACAAAUUAACGAGCUGGCAUUUGGAUUAGAACAAAGUGAGCAAAAAUUCAUCUGGGUUCUUCGAGGAGCUGACAAAAAAGGUGGGGAUAAUAUCGAAAAUGUCGAAAGAGGAAGUAAUUAUGAUUUGCCAGACGGGUUUGAAGAGAGAAUCAAAGAAAAGGGGGUUGGGUUUAUAGAGAAAAAUUGGGCACCCCAAUUGGAAAUCUUGGCACACGGGUCAAUCGGGGGAUUCAUGAGUCAUUGUGGAUGGAAUUCAUGUAUCGAGAGCAUUUCAAUGGGAGUUCCAAUGGCAGCUUGGCCGAUCCAUUCAGAUCAGCCGAGGAACACUGUGCUGAUAACAAAAGUACUGAAGAUCGGGAUCAUUGUGAGAGAUUGGGAAAAUCGAUAUGAAUUGGUAAGUGCUGCGAAAGUUAAAAAUGCGGUGAGAUUUUUGAUGGAUUCUGCAGAAGGAGAGGAGCUGCGGCGGAGAGUGACAGAGUUGAGCAGUUCUGUGAAGAAGUCAGUGAUGAAUGGCGCCAGUCGCAAGGAGAUGGAUUCCUUUGUUGCUCAUAUUACCAGAUAAGUUCGCAUUUCUCAGCCUUCCAUUGAUGAAACUUUUUCCAGAAAUUCAUUUUCAGCAUCAGCAGGCCACUAAUUUGCUUGAGUGGCGACUGACCUGAAAUGCUACGAAAGCUAUAGCACUCAACAUUCGGUAUAGAAGGAGCAUCUUGAAGAACCCAAGCUAUAAAAGAGUCGUAAAUAACAAUUACUCUUUUAUAAU